CUCAAGACGCAUGUCUAAUCUGGUGGAAAGCUUUUGCGGUGUGGGAUGGGCCCGCGGCCUAUCAGCUUGUUGGUGGGGUGACGGCCUACCAAGGCGACGACGGGUAGCCGGCCUGAACCAGAGGGUGUCCGGCCACACUGGGACUGAGAUACGGCCCAGACUAACCUACGGGAGGCAGCAGUGGGGAAUAUUGCACAAUGGGCGCAAGCCUGAUGCAGCGACGCCGCGUGGGGGAUGACGGCCUUCGGGUUGUAAACCUCUUUCACCAUCGACGAAGGUCCGGGUUUAUCUCGGAUUGACGGUAGGUGGAGAAGAAGCACCGGCCAACUACGUGCCAGCAGCCGCGGUAAUACGUAGGGUGCGAGCGUUAAGUCCGGAAUUACUGGGCGUAAAGAGCUCAAGUAGGUGGUUUGUCGCGUUGUUCGUGAAAUCUCACGGCUUAACUGUGAGCGUGCGGGCGAUACGGGCAGACUAGAGUACUGCAGGGGAGACUGGAAUUCCUGGUGUAGCGGUGGAAUGCGCAGAUAUCAGGAGGAACACCGGUGGCGAAGGCGGGUCUCUGGGCAGUAACUGACGCUGAGGAGCGAAAGCGUGGGGAGCGAACAGGAAAUUAGAUACCCUGGUAGUCCACGCCGUAAACGGUGGGUACUAGGUGUGGGUUUCCUUCCUUGGGAUCCGAUGCCGUAGCUAACGCAUUAAGUACCCCGCCUGGGGAGUACGGCCGCAAAGGCUAAAACUCAAAGGAAUUGACGGGGGCCCGCACAAGCGGCGGAGCAUGUGGAUUAAUUCGAUGCAACGCGAAGAACCUUAACCUGGGUUUGACAUGCACAGGACGCGUCUAGAGAUAGGCGUUCCCUUGUGGCCUGUGUGCAGGUGGUGCAUGGCUGUCGUCAGCUCGUGUCGUGAGAUGUUGGGUUAAGUCCCGCAACGAGCGCAAAACCCUUGUCUCAUGUUGCCAGCGGGUAAUGCCGGGGACUCGUGAGAGACUGCCGGGGUCAACUCGGAGGAAGGUGGGGAUGACGUCAAGUCAUCAUGCCCCUUAUGUCCAGGGCUUCACACAUGCUACAAUGGCCGGUACAAAGGGCUGC
rnacentral:rRNA from 1 species